GACGGGACCCCCGCACAAGCGGUGGAUCAUGUUGUUUAAUUCGAUGAUACGCGAAGAACCUUACCAGGUCUUGACAUCCCCCGCGAUGCUUUAGAGAUAAAGCGGAGGUAUUCGGGGAGACAGGUGGUGCAUGGUUGUCGUCAGCUCGUGUCGUGAGAUGUUGGGUUAAGUCCCGCAACGAGCGCAACCCCUAUUGCUAGUUACCAUCAUUAAGUUGGGGACUCUAGCGAGACUGCCAGUGAUAAACUGGAGGAAGGUGGGGAUGACGUCAAAUCAUCAUGCCCCUUAUGAUCUGGGCUACACACGUGCUACAAUGGCCGGUACAACGGGCAGCGAAGGAGCGAUCCGGAGCGAAUCCUAAAAAGCCGGUCCCAGUUCGGAUUGCAGGCUGAAACUCGCCUACAUGAAGUUGGAGUUGCUAGUAAUCGCGAAUCAGAAUGUCGCGGUGAAUGCGUUCCCGGGUCUU
rnacentral:rRNA from 1 species